GGAGGAAGCAGGCUCCCCGCUGAGCAGAGAGCUCAAUGCGGAGCUCGAUCCCAGGACCCCGAGAUCACGACCUGAGCCGAAGGCAGAGGCUUAAUCCACCGAGCCACCCAGGCGCCCCGACUUAAUGGUUUUUUAAGUGACUACGCUCCACUGAAGGAAA